CAGGAACAGUCCUGGAGUAGAUUGAGCUGUUUGUACGAGUAAGAGGAGACAGACACAGCCCAUUUGUCCCAGUUAAUAGCAGGAAUCUAGGUAGGAAUCACAACUUCCCUUCGGGCUUUCAUGCGUUUUUCCAGCAGACCCCUUCGUGCACCGGGAGGAGGGAGCUGCACUCUCCGCGGAGAGAGGCAGUGAAGUAGGAAAGUCAAAUGGCUCUAUUAUUGGGGUUUUUUAAGUCAUUGUGUAUAUUUGUGAACUUUUUGUAUUAUUAUUGUUUUGUGAUCAGGUUUCCCCUGGAACUGAAGAGCCGUAGGGGGGUCCUGCCGUGCAGAACACGGACUCGUGUCUGUCUCUGUCCGACAGCGGCGUGGACGUUGGAUGUUCCUGGCCAUCGCUGCAGGAGAGAUGCAGGGACGCGGCAGGGGCGGCGGCUAAUUCGCCAGGAGUACACUGUAACCAUCCUGUCCUUCAGCUGCUUUCCCUUGAGUGGGCCUGAAUGA
rnacentral:lncRNA from 1 species